rnacentral:lncRNA from 1 species
CUGAAAUGGAUACAAAUAUGAGGAAAAUAAUGUACUCUUUGAAUUAGCGUGUUAUAGUAUUGGUUGGAUUGUUCAUGAUCAUAAAUUAAAAUUUUACCAUCCAUCAAAAUAUCUCAUCUGAUUUUUUUCGAACCAAAUUAUAUUCAGAAGCCCUUGUAUGAAUACAACCAUAAGCAUCAAAUACAAUCAAGUCAUGAAAACAACUUAGAAUCUCAUUUGCAUAUGCCAAAACUAUA